rnacentral:rRNA from 1 species
AGUGAACGCUGGCGGUAGGCCUAACACAUGCAAGUCGAACGGCAGCACAGUAAGAGCUCGCUCUUACGGGUGGCGCGUGGCGGCCGGGUGAGGAAUACAUCGGAACCUACUUUUUCGUGGGGGAUAACGUAGGGAAACUUACGCUAAUACCGCAUACGACCUACGGGUGAAAGCAGGGGAUCUUCGGACCUUGCGCGAUUGAAUGAGCCGAUGCGGGGUUAGCUAGUUGGCGGGGUAAAGGCCCACCAAGGCGACGAUUCGUAGGUGGUCUGAGGGGAUGAACAGCCACACUGGAACUGAGACACGGUCCAGACUCCGGCGGGGGGCAGCAGUGGGGAAUAUUAGACGAGGGGGGCGAGCCUGAUCCAGCCAUACCGCGUGGAUGAAGAAGGCGUUCGGGUUGGAAAGCCCUUUUGUUGGGAAAGAAAAGCAGCAGGUUAAUACCCCGCUGUUCUGACGGUACCCAAAGAAUAAGCACCGGCUAACUUCGUG